GUCGUCGUGAGGCGGGGGUCUGAAGGAAGCGUGUACCAAAGCCACGACCUGACGAACAGAAACCAGGGCCUACCCGGGCGGACGAGCGAGCCCGGGCCCGGGGUGGUAGAUCUGGCGGGUGUGUGGUGAAGGCGGUUGGG
rfam:Candidatus Burkholderia pumila strain TZHbot3 BPMIctg198, whole genome shotgun sequence.